rnacentral:lncRNA from 1 species
CUUGCCUGCCGCUAUGCAAGGCGUGACUUUGCUCCUCCUUUGCCUUCUGACAUGAUUGUGAGGCCUCCCCAGCCAUGUGGAACUAUGAGCAAGCUGAACCUCAGAGGGCUUAGUGAUGUGGUUGAGGCACAGCCACCAAGGAUCAAUGACUGAGAAAAGUACUGAGUACACAGAAGUGGCGACGGGCAAAUGGAGAUCCUGGAAAAGGAGGUUUUCUACCAAAAUAUCCUUGUGAACAUGAGGACAGCUUCCAAACUGAGAAAGAGUGGGCUCGAGAAAGCUCUAAUGCUUCUUUCCCUGACACGAAGUGCUUCGUGCAGUGUUUGGCAUCAACAUGUCGGAGCCGUGGCAACGUUCUCCGUGCAUCCCCGCUUGGGCGUCAUUUUGGAUGUAUGAAUAUGGACUGAAGGUCAAACUCAGACCAGAGGCAGGACCCAGGAUCAGAGGCCAGGCUGAUGCCAAGGGUAAAGGACAGGAUGAGAGGACUCUGCAAAAUUGUUCUCCUUUGGCCGGUACCCCUGCCUUGGUUUCUCUCCAGCCCCACACAGUCAGGGAAGAGAAAAGGGAAAAGAGAAGUUUGACUGCCACUGAUAAGAAGGCACAUUAAACACUGUCCUCAUAAUCAAAUUAUUGGCAGGGACUUGACACUUGGUAAAGGUUCAGCUGUGAACUGAACAGUCACUAAUCCUGUGGCAGCUGAAAAUCCUGACCCAGAGAACAGGUGGAGAAGCACCGUACUGACACCAGAAUCCCCAGGAUGCUAUUCAGUUGACACAGAGACCACACGCUUCAUAGUAUUCAGAGCACUGGACUUGGGACCAGAAGUUCCAGCUCAUCACUGCUGUAUAACUGUAAAGAAAUCAUUUAGCCUCUCGAGCCUCAUUCUUUGUGUGAGAUGGAGAUAAUCCUACUCAUCUCAUAGGGCAGUUGUGAGGACUGAAUGAGUUUAAAUGCAAAAUGCUCUUAAGACACUGUGAUAUAUCUGCAUCCACCCACUUAUCUCCCUGCUUACCUAUCUCUGUAAAAUAGGGAUAAUAAUAGUUACUACUUCACAGAGUUGUAAGAGUUGAGUGAAAAGGUGAAUGAUGGAGGCUGAGGUGGGCGGACCAUCUGAGGUCAGGAGUUGGAGACCAGCCUGGCCAACAUGGUGAAACCCCGUCUCUACUAAAAAUACAAAAAUUAGCUGAAUGUGGUGGUGUGUGCCUUUAAUCUCAGCUACUUGGGAGGCUGAGGCAGGAGAAUCGAUUGAACCCAGGAGGUGGAGGUUGCAGUGAGCCGAGAUUACGCCACUGCACUCCAGGCUCCAGCCUGGGCAACAGAGUGAGACUCCAUCUCAAAAAAUAAAAUAAAACAAACCAACAACAACAACAAAAACAACAAAACAAAAAGGUGAAUGACAAAAGGCUUUGCAACUCCCUGUACAAAUGAGAGUGACUAUUAUCAAAUAUCCCAUCUGUGUUGGAAGCAAUACUGCCCAGUGGUUAUCUAAUGCAGGCUUGUCCAUCAGAAAUAGAAUGUGAGGCACAUGUGUAAUUUAAAAUUAUUUAUUGGUCACAUUAGAACACAGUAAAAAAAAACAGUGAAAUAGUUUUAAUAAUAAUUUCCUACCCCUAAGUGUGUGUGUGUGCUCGCGUGCACAUUUCUGCAUGUAUUGGGGUGUUGUCCCUGGUCCCCAGGAGAGACAGCCAGGAUCUUCACAGUCAGUGUAACUCUGGCUCCCUACUGGGACCCUCUGAAUCUUUUGGUUGCCUAAAGACCACCAGGACCCAGAAACCCAAGAAUACCUUUU